UCCUUCAGCAGGGAGGGCGGCGGGGACAGGCGUCGACUCAUGUCCCGGGAUUCAGACGUGCUCUCUGAGUUUGGCUGACUAGCACAGGACGACUCAUCGCCGCUGUGGAGUGGGGACGACUCGGCUGGCCAAUCAGCUGUGAUGCCCCCAGGGCUUGGGACGCAUGGGGGAGACUCCAGAAGCUUGGGUGCCUCAUCCAUAUUGGGGCCUUCUUUAGGUUUGGGGGAAGUCUUCCGGCAAGGAGACUCAAUGGCUUUUGCGGGCGAGCUGGACCCUCUGGAGCGAGACGAGUCCGUCCCCUUGCAUCUGUUCUUCCUGCCUUUGGACCGCCGACACUCCCUCCCUCUGAGUCGGGGGGAAUCGCUGCUCCUGCUCCGCGGCGACCCCGACGACCUGCUAUGGGACACGCAACAACGUCGGAUGUCUGUCCUCGCCCACAUACCCAUAAAGUCAUGAGACACAGUCAAACCUGGAAUGAGGCGAGUCUGCACCCCUGAGGUGAUGAAGACGAGGGGACUCAACACUCUUUACCAAAGACCAGCUACCUCCUUGCUCGCGCUCUGCUUUAGCCUUUUGCAGUUCCUGGCAGACAAAAGGCACUGAAUUACACCAGCUCAAGACCAACCUGUCAAGAACCAACCUGUAAUUUCAUCUCUUCCAGGACAAAAGGCACAGAAUUAGAUCCACUCGAGACCAACCUGCUUAUGACUAUUCUAGAAUAUAUUCUCUUCCAGAACAAAAAGCCACAAAAUUAGAACUGAUCAAGACAGACCUGUCUAGUGCAAACCUGUGAUAUCAUCUGUUUCAGGUCAAGAAUCUAAUAAUUAAAAGUUCAAGACCGACCUGUCUAGAGCCAAGGUGUAAUCUCAACUCGUCCAGAACAAAAAUCAAAGAUUUAAAUGUUCAAAACCAACCUGUCUACUGCCAACGUGUAAUUUCAUCACUUCCAGGACAAAAGUCAAAGAAUCAAAUGUUCAAGACCAAACUGUCUAGGACAUACCUCUAAUCUAAUCUCUUCCAGGACAAAGGACAUACAAACCCCGUUUCCAUAUUAGUUGGGAAAUUGUGUUAGAUGUAAAUAUAAACAGAAUGCAAUGAUUUGCAAAUCUUUUUCAACCCAUAUUCAAUAGAAUGCACUACAAAGACAACAUAUUUGAUGUUCAAACUCAUAAACUAUAUACUGUAUAUUUUUUUUCAAGUAAUAAUUAACUUAGAAUUUCAUGGCUGCAACAUGUGCCAAACUAGUUGGGAAAGGACAUGUUCACCACUGUGUUACAUCACCUUUUCUUUUAACAACACUCAAUAAAAGUUUGGGAACUGAAAAAACUAAUUGUUGAUUCUUUGAAAGUGGAAUUCUUUCCCAUUCUUGUUUUAUGUAGAGCUUCAGUCGUUCAACAGUCCGGGGCCGUCCGCUGUCGUAUUUUACGCUUCAUAAUGCGCCACACAUUUUCAACGGGAGACAGGUCUGGACUGCAGGCGGGCCAGGAAAGUACCCGCACUCUUUUUUUUUUUUACAAAGCCACGCUGUUGCAACACGUGCUGAAUGUGGCUUGGCAUUGUCUUGCUGAAAUAAGCAGGGGUGUCUAUGAUAACGUUGCUUGGAUGAUUACACAUGUUGUUCCAAAACCUGUAUGUACCUUUCCGCAUUAAAGGUGCCUUCACAGAUGUGUAAGUUACCCAUGCCUUGGGCACUAAUGCACCCCCAUACCAUCACAGAUGCUGGCUUUUGAACAUUGCGUCGAUAACAGUCUGGAUGGUUCGCUUCCCCUUUGCUCCGCAAUGACACAAUGUCGAAUAUUUCCAAAAACAAUUUGAAAUGUGGACUAAUCAGACCACAGAACACUUUUCCACUUUGCAUCAGUCCAUCUUAGAUGAUCUCGGGCCCAGAGAAGCCGGCGGCGUUUCUGAAUGUUGUUGAUGAAUGGCUUUCGCUUUGCAUAGUAGAACUUUAAUUUGUACUUACAGAUGUAGCGACAAACUGUAUUUAGUGACAGUGGUUUUCUGAAGUGUUCCUGAGCCCAUGUGGUGGUAUCCUUUAAAGAUUGAUGUCGUUUUUUUAUACAGUGCUGUCUGAGGGAUUGAAGGUGACGGUCAUUCAAUGUUGGUUUCCGGCCAUGCCGCUUACGUGUCGUGAUGUCUCCAGAUUCUCUGAACUUUUUGAUGAUAUUAUGACCGUAGAUGUUGAAAUCCCUAAAUUUCUUGCAAUUGCACUUUGGAAAAAUCCUUGUUCUUAAACUGUUUGACUAUUUGCUCACGCAGUUGUGGACAAAGCGGUGUACCUCGCCCCAUCCUUUCUUGUGAAAGACAGCAUUUUUUGGGAGGCUGUUUUUAUACCCAAUCAUGGCACCCACCUGUUCCCAAUUAGCCUGCACACCUGUGGGAUGUUCCAAAUAAGUGUUUGAUGAGCAUUUCUCAACUUUCAGUAUUUAUGCCACCUUUCCCAACUUCUUUGUCACAUGUUGCUGGCAUCAUAUUCUAAAGUUAAUGAUUAUUUAUAAAAAAAAAUUUUUUUUAUCAGUUUGAACAUUAAAUAUGUUGUCUUUGUAGCAUAUUCAAUUGAAUAUGGGUUGAAAAGGAUUUGCAAAUCAUUGUAUUCCGUUCAUAUUUACAUCUAAAACAAUUUUCUUAACUCAUAUGGAAAUGGGGUAUGUAGAAUUAGACCCAGUUAAGUCCAACCUAUGCAGUACCAACCUGUAAUCUCAUUUCUUCCAGAUCAAUUGGCAUAGCAUUAGAUGCUGAAGACCGAACUGCCUAGGACCAACCUGUUUUCUAAUCUCUUCCAGGACAAACGACAUAGAAUUAGACCCGUUCAAGACCAACCUAUAUAAGACCAACCUGCAAUAUCUUCUCUUCCAGGACAAAACACACAGAAUGAGAUCCUCAAGACCGAACUGUCUAAAACCAACCUGUGAUCUAAUCUCUUCCAGGUCAAACAAGAGAGAAUUAUACCCGCUUGAGACCAACCUAUAUAGAACCAACCUGUAAUCUCAUCUCUUCCAGAUCAAUGUUCAUAGAUUUAGACACUCUCAAGACCGACCUGUUUCAGGUCAACCUGUAAUCUCAUCUCUUUCAGGACAAAAAUCAAUUAAUGAAAAGUUCAAGACCGACCUGUCUACAGCUAACGUGUAAUCUAAUGUCUUCCAGGACAAAAGUCUAACAAUUAAAUGUUCAAGACCGACCUGUCUAUGGCCAAUGUGUAAUUUAAUCUCUUCCAGAACAAAAGUGAAAUAAUUACAUGUUGAAGACCAACCGGUCCAGGACCAACGUGUAAACUCAUUUCUUCCAGUACAAAUGGCACAGAAUUAGAUGCUUAAAACCGAACUGUAUAGAGCCAACCUCCAAUCUAAUCUCUUCCAUGACAAACAACAUAGAAUUAGACCCAGUUAAAACCAACCUAUAUAGAACCAACCUGUAAUCUCAUCUCUUCCAGAUCAAUUGGCAUAGCAUUAGAUGCUCAAGACCGAAAUGUCUAAAACCAACCUGUAAUCUAAUCUCUUCCAGGUCAAACGACAUAGCAUUGGACCCACUUGAGACCAACCUAGAUAGAACCAACCUGUAAUCUCAUCUCUUCCAGAUCAAUGGUCAUAGAAAUACACCCUCUCAAAACCGACCUGUCAACGAGUCAACCUGUAAUCUCAUGUCUUCCAGGACAAAAAGCAUAGGGUUAGACCCGCUCAAGACCAACCUUUCUAGAACCAACCUGUAAUCUCAUCUCCUCCAGCAGCUCUUGAGCCCGCUGCAUCCUCUGAGCAAUGAGGCUCUGCAGUUGACCCACCGGCUGCACAGAAGCCCCGCCCUCCUCUUCGGUUGGACAGCGGCGAAGAACCGAGCGCAACUCAGAGCGGAUCAUUGCCGGUCUGGAACAGAAAGGAGGAAGAAGAUGCAGGCGGCCAAGGUUGAUGUUUUUCCCUGCCAGUGUGGAAACGUUAAUACCUGGAAGAGAGGACUUCAUCCAUCGAAGCGCAGCGACUUCGCCCCUGCACGAUGGACUUUUUACCGGGCUGAGGGGUUCUGGACUGAUUCUGGAGAACCUUAUAAAAAACAAUGGACUCAGAUCAACACGGCCUGGACCAGACUGACAAGUGGUUCUGAGUCUUUACCUGCAGCUGCUGGCUCUUCUGCACCUUGGCGGCUUCCAGGUGGGAAUAUUUUCCCCAGGAUCGCUCACUUCCUCUGGGCAGACUUCCAGUCUUCACUUUGGGCUCCUUGGUCUUUACCCGUAACUUGGAAACGUCGGUACCCGAGCGCUGACGCCCUCCAACCACCUGAUACGCUGUCACCUGGUUGCUGGAGCCCACACGGAAGCCGUUGUCCCACGAGUCACAUUCCGACGAGAAGCCCUCCUCUUCGGCCACCAGGUCAAGGGUCACCAGUCCGUGGCAGGACGUGGACGCCUGGUGGUCCAAAAGGACAGUGAGUGCCUUAAGCCAACAUAUCAGACCAGAGCGGUCGCAGUACCACAGCCAUGAGGUGUCCUCGCGUUGGCAGCCGACGUCCUUGCGGUAUCUUGGCUCUGUCUCUGGUGGGAUGGACCAACACGUCCUCCAUGGUCACCUGCACAUAGAAGAUCUCUGUCUUUUCGAGGUGUUGUGUACAUGUGUUGACUACGUGCGGACAUCAUCUAAGUCUGGCCCACACCUGGUCUAGGACACGGUUCUUGGCUCUGACGAUGCCCACGUUUAGCGCGUGGACCCAUGACUCUUUCUCCUCUGGACUCACGGCCAGGAAGACCAGGUUGGGAACCUGGAGGAGGAUAAAUGACGUCAAAGUUAGACAGGUUGACAGGGGGAAUUCUGUCAUGAUGAUGACGACGAUGACAUCACACAAGCAGAGGAAGACCUCCUGACGUUCAGCAGGGAUUAUCCUGCUCCAGCACUGACACACUAAUGGGAUUCUGUGGAUUAAAUCUUUUUACAGGGGAAAAAAAACUAGGCAGCGGCCCAGCCAAUCAGAGUGUGGCAGCAUGUUAAAUCCCACCCACCACUCGGGAUCAAAGUCCACCAAUAAGGAUUCAGCAAGCGUCGGGCCGGGACGAAGUAAAUCUCUUGGAGGACGGACACACUAAAAUCACUGAAAAAUUCCACUUUGGUAGUUUUGACAUCAUCAGGAAUGUAAAUAAAGUGUCCUCCAUCUUGGAACGUGUUCAGGCAGGCACUCUAUGCAGUUGUUUAGGGCCAAAUCCACAAGGAGGGGCACAUAUUUAGAAAGGCUCUGGCCAUCAAUUUAGAGACUUUUGAAUGCCAUUUUUUGCCUUGGAAGGUACAAUAAUUUUUAAAAAAUUAUAUUAAAGUCUACAAUGGAACAAUUACCAAAAUCUUAAGGAUCACAAAAAGCCCAGGGAAGACUGACCGUGUUUCCGGGCUGCCUGCAGCGAAGCAGAGUGAAGCGGCUGUGGUUCUUCUUGCUGCGACUCUUUGCUUUCCUCAGCUCCUCCGAACGCUCGUAGUCGGCCAAGUCGAAAACUUCCUGCGCCUUGCGCUCGUCCUUCACCUGAGACAUACACGAAGUGGUUUUGGUGACGCCACACUGAUGCUCUCAUGUGUUGCCAUGGUUACUGUGAUGAUGCCUCCACAUUGCCUGGGGGAGGUACUCCGGCUUCCUCCCACCUCCAAAGACAUGCACCUGGGGAUAGUUUGCAGAGGGGUCGCGGGAGGGCUGGAGUCUUGCCCAGCCUGGACAAGUCGCCACCUCAUCGCAGGGUCAACGCAUUCACACUCAUGACUGUCGUUUGUUACUACUUUUAAUUUUGUAGUUAUUUCCCCAUAUUUCUACACAAUAAGAUAUAGUAACCCUUGCGAGGAAAAAAAAAAUAUGGAGUGAUUUUUUUUGUCCAGUUCAUACUUUACUUCAUUCAUUAUUGAAAUAUUUCUUGCCAGUUUAUGUUGUAUAUUUUUAAAAGAGAUUUCCAGUUAAUUUUCUCAUCUUAUUACACCCAGAAAUGUUGGAUUGCAGGACAUUUCCUUGGGUUCAAAUUCAAUGUUAUUUUGUUGAUGGAGAAAUGUGACUACAAUUUUUUUUUUACGACGUAAACUUGGUCUGUUGGGGUUGUGAACAUGCUGGCACAAAAAUUUUUACUUUUUCGCACUUUAUUUUAAAUGUUUUCAUAUAUAGCAUGCAUAUUUGGCAUGUUAUGGUGACCUAAGUGUGUAAAAACAAGUUUAAAUUUUUUUUUUAGUUUGUACUUUUAUUUUAUAGUGAUUUGCAUUUUAAGUUAUAUUAGAGCUGUCAAAAAUAUUGAGUUGACUCAUGCGAUUCAUCACAAAAAGUGAUCACAUUAAUCAUGUAUAAACACAGAUUAAUCACAAUAUUUGCAAGUUAUGAGCAAAAAAAUGCUGUGCAUUCAAGUAAAACAUUUAAAACAUGCUCACGGAUGACAUUUUGACAAUAAAACUACAUUUGUGUUAAAAUAUUGGAGUCUUUAAUUACAUUUUUUUUCAAUCGCAAAAAAACCCCUUAACGAUAUUUCAGAUACUUUUUCUAAACUUAACAGACUCACACCUACAAAACACAAUUGGUCAAAAGGAUCAUUUCUUUCUAAAAAACACUUGUUAAAAAUAUACUGACACUUUAUUUCAAAAUAGAAUAUUUCUCUACACACACUAGUUUAGAAAUCGGACUCCAAAUUGAAAUAUUCUGUCAUAAAACUGUCAUGAGGGCAGUUCUCCUGCCUUUUUCCCUCUUGUGUCUGUAAGUCUCCUCCCCCAUCAUCAGUUGCAGGUGUGCUGCCAGUCAUUCAAGCCCACCCGCGUUUAAUCAACCACCUGACUUAAACCCUGGAUCUCCAUCCAGCCAGUGCCAGUUCGUCUGUUGCCAAGCUCACUUACUCUGACCUUUGCCCUGAACCCUUUGUUAUUCUUGUUUUUUGUAUUUCCUCGGGUGGUGGACCGACUUUUGACCUGGUUUUCCUGGAGCUGAUUUUUCGUUACUACAGAUUUAUUUUCUCCAGUGGCUUUUUGUUAUUAAAUAUCAAUUUUUUACUGA